GACCUCGUAACUCAGUUGGUAGAGCAUUGGACUAGUAUCCCAAAGGUCACGGGUUCGAUUCCCACCGUGGUCA